rnacentral:rRNA from 1 species
GAUGAACGCUAGCGGCAGGCCUAAUACAUGCAAGUCGGACGGGAUCCAUCGGAGAGCUUGCUCGAAGAUGGUGAGAGCGGCGCACGGGUGCGUAACGCGUGAGCAACCUACCUCUAUCAGGGGGAUAGCCUCUCGAAAGAGAGAUUAACACCGCAUAAUAUAAUCUUCCGGCAUCGUUAGAUUAUUAAAUAUUUAUAGGAUAGAGAUGGGCUCGCGUGACAUUAGCUAGUUGGUAAGGUAACGGCUUACCAAGGCGACGAUGUCUAGGGGCUCUGAGAGGAGAAUCCCCCACACUGGUACUGAGACACGGACCAGACUCCUACGGGAGGCAGCAGUAAGGAAUAUUGGUCAAUGGGCGGAAGCCUGAACCAGCCAUGCCGCGUGCAGGACGACUGCCCUAUGGGUUGUAAACUGCUUUUGUCCAGGAAUAAACCUAAAUACGUGUAUUUAGCUGAAUGUACUGGAAGAAUAAGGAUCGGCUAACUCCGUGCCAGCCGCCGCAGUAACAC